UCCUUCUUUUCCCUCCAAAUUCCCAAUCUUCAUUUCUUAAUCUGUAAUUUCGAGAGAGAUAAUCCUGCAUUUUGAAGUCUAUACUUUCAGAAUCAUUGGCGAUAUAAUCGAUAGAUUAGACCUCAAGACCAUAUUUCAUGUUCGCAUUUCCCGAUUAGUUUUCCAAUCAGUUGGUUUUAGGUUUGAUUCUUCUGAGACGAUGUUACAAUGGAUGGGUGGAUCGAGGAGGAAAGUGACAAAUUCAAGAAAGUCAACACACAAAAGGCAAAAACAGUAUUUUGAUCAAACGAAACGAUAAGAACAUACCAAUGUAGAUGAGGAUGCUGAAGGAACUCAUGUGUCUGCUGAAUACCACCGGGCACCUAAAUCGUUGGAUAUCUUAAGUUUAUGAACUUGGCGGUAGAGACUAAGGGGGAUAAUUCUGGUUGCACCUGUGCAACGUGUGGUCCAGCUCUCAGAGUUUCACCGGUAAAAUAUCCACUUCCAGAGGACAUAAUAAAGCAACGGAAGUCCCUGUUCUGAUAUUUUCACCAGCGAACCAUCAGCUUCAGAAGGACAGAAGUACUCUUCUGGAAAAAAAGGUGAUAAGUUGGAUUGCAGGAAGAAGGCAACUGAAACUGAGUUCUCAUUACUCGAUUUACUUGGUGAGGAUUGGUCAAAUGGAAAAACAGAAGGAAGUCCAGUGCAUGAGUGUCAUGUUGCCUUUUCUGU